GAUGAACGCUGGCUACAGGCUUAACACAUGCAAGUCGAGGGGAAACGACGGGGAAGCUUGCUUCCCCGGGCGUCGACCGGCGCACGGGUGAGUAACGCGUAUCCAACCUGCCUCUGACUGAGGGAUAACCCGUCGAAAGUCGGCCUAAUACCUCAUGGCAUCGUCUGCGGGCAUCCAACGACGAUUAAAGAUUUCAUCGGUCAGAGAUGGGGAUGCGUCUGAUUAGCUUGUUGGCGGGGUAACGGCCCACCAAGGCGACGAUCAGUAGGGGUUCUGAGAGGAAGGUCCCUCACAUUGGAACGGAGACACGGUCCAAACUCCUACGGGAGGCAGCAGUAAGGAAUAUUGGUCAAUGGGCGAGAGCCUGAACCAGCCAAGUAGCGUGCAGGAUGACGGCCCUAUGGAUUGUAAACUGCUUUUAUGCGGGGAUAAAGUGAGGGACGUGUCCUUCAUUGCAGGUACCGCAUGAAUAAGGACCGGCUAAUUCCGUG
rnacentral:rRNA from 1 species